GCCAUAGAUCUAAAUGUUUGGAGAGGAUGUCAGGAGAGGCAGAGCCGGCCAGCCAGCUGCAGAGGAACGCCUGGUGAAGAGUAUUUCCCACCUUACAGACCCAAGAUCUGCAGAAUCACAGAUGGGAGACAAGGAAGCUCUUCCUCCACGCUCUGACUUCGUCUAAGGUAACAAUUAUUGGCUUUUACGCGAGAAGGCUGAUGCAUUUUCAAAGCAGGCACAUUGCCCUCCUGUUUUGACAGUUUGGCUUUAGCUGAAAUAUCAUUAAACUUUUUGAAAACAAGGGCUUUGAAACUCAAUCCCCACACUAUUUACACGCUUCCUUUUUUUUCUUUCUCUCGUAUGAGUUUGGUUUUUACUUGCUGUGGCACAGUUAAUUCGCCCUUCACUUUCUGCUCUCAAAACAAACACUGGUUUAAGCAUUCAGCUUCUCUAGCACUGCAUAGCUGAGAGUGGAAAAAAUAACAUCUGAAACAGGAUGGGCUUUUGAUGAUGCCCGUAUGACAGGUACAUUUCAAACCACCAAAGGUGAGUCACCGCAUUCUGUGCAUACUCUGCUGAGCAGCAGGAAGUGUGGGUAUUUUCAGCCUGAGGCCAAGGAGCUUUUCAGAUGUCUUAAGGCAGG
rnacentral:lncRNA from 1 species